AAAAAUCACCGGAAAAUGUCUCCCACGCUAAAAAGUGACACGGGAUGGCCGAAAAAGGAAUUGGAAACACGGAGUGGACCGAACAAUGUAGCAGCAUCGAACAGUGUCUCACGCAUUGGAAAGGAAGGGCGCAUGAGCCUCACACGCAUGGCUUUCCGGCGAUGGAGCUGGCCGGCGGCGGCAAUGAGAUGUGAAAAGUCUCUAGAUAGAGUAGUACCAAAAAGGUAGAUCUAGGGUUUUAGAAAUCCUAAAGAAAAAAAAUUGAAUUUAAACUAUAAAAUCAAGAAAAAACUCUAAUACUGUGAAAAAUUUUGAGAGGAAUUUUUUAUUUUAUUCCAAUUGAAUUAAUCUUUACAAGAUUUGAGUAUUUAUACACAAAAAAUCAAUCUAAAUCACAAAUAUUUACAAUAAAAAUAAAAUCUCUAUAAUCAAGUCUAAUUAGGAAGGAACCUUCUAUAUUGGUCAACAAAAAUAAAAUCUCUAUAAUCAAGUCUAAUUAAGGAGGAACCUUCUAUAUUGGUCAACAAUUAUUCUCUCAAGCAAAUUGGAAAUCUAUAGUGUUAAUCUAAGGUACUAAAAAGGAAGAAUACAAAUCAAGAAAUUUUAGGCUAAUUUACAGCCCUAAUCAGUGCAUAUCUACAUAUUACAACAAUAAAGGAAGAGAAAAUCUCAAAUAUCUUAAUAGGAGGAAACUGUGUCAUAGAAAAGAAGUAAGAAACAUGGUGUAGUUUUUGAUCUAGUACUCAAUAAGAAUGUGAAGCUAUGACACAAUAUGAGUGAAGUACUGUGGAUAUAUCAUUUAUUUAAUUACACUGCUCUUAAGAUCUCAAUAUCAUUACCUGCAAAUUGAAUUACUCUGUAUUGUCUCCAAUCUUGUAUUUCACAAAUGAUUCAAAUAUUGAGAUUAAUUACAAAUUUGUUCAUAAAAAAGAUCCAACAAAGGGUUAUCUAAAUAGGAUACAUGAAGACCAAAGAAAUUAGAAGUUACCUUCGUAAAGACUUAAUGAAAAUUGAGUGGAUUAUAGUUGUAACAAGCUAGGCAUGAUUAACAUCUUGCUCCUUCUUGAAGGGGAUUGUUAUAGAAUAGGAAGUUAUUGUAGAAUAGUAAGUCAAUUAGUAGAAAGCCAAUUCAGUUAGCAUAAUUAUAAGGAUGGAGUUUGUAAAAGUUCCCAAUUAGUUGGCUUUGAUUAUAGGAAGAAUUGUAUGUAAAUUUAUAUUAAAUCUUUACGAAAUAUACGUUAGUUUAUCACAAAACAUAACAAGCAAGUUGAACUUAUUAUCAUUAUUGCUUUUGCUCUCUCUUUAUCUCUCACUCGCUUGAAUGUACACACAAAAUUGUGGGAAGUUAGAACUAUUAAAGUUUAGAUUGCUGCACAUUAAUCAUGUGGCCCGACUUUCAUUUGCAUUUUAAGCAUGCAAAGGAAGCUAUUCCCAUUAGUUUUGUAUUUAGCUUGAGUAUAUUGCUUGAUGCAAAAUAUCUGAAUGAUACAGAAAAACAUGCUCAUAUUUAUGUGUUUAUGUACUAGGUUAUUUGAUGCAAUAUUUAUAAAUAAC
rnacentral:lncRNA from 1 species